rnacentral:rRNA from 1 species
UACGGAGGGUGCAAGCGUUAUCCGGAUUCACUGGGUUUAAAGGGUGCGUAGGCGGCUUGAUAAGUCAUUGGUGAAAGCUCGCAGCUUAACUGCGAAACUGCCAAUGAAACUGCCAAGCUUGAAUCUGGUUGAAGUGGGCGGAAUACAACAUGUAGCGGUGAAAUGCUUAGAUAUGUUGUAGAACACCGAUUGCGAAGGCAGCUCACUAAGCCAACAUUGACGCUGAGGCACGAAAGCGUGGGUAGCGAACAGG